CCUUCUCAGAGAUCAAAGAAAAUCCACCUGUUUUCAGUGUAUUUAUCCUAGACAGAAAUCCACUCUUUUAACAGAGCCUGUUAGAAACUAUAAAAACUUCAACACUUUUAAAAGACUUGUCACAGUUACUGGCGCUAUGUUGCAAUAAACAAUAUCCUUUUGAGUAUUUAAAAUAUUCAAAUUUUACCAUACGCAUUUAACUGCAUGUCGUUGUUUGUACAUUGUAUAUCCUUUAAAUGAACUAUGAUCAAUGCCUUAUUGUUUUAUUCUGUACAAAAAUGUGGUUUACGUUUCCAUUUACCGCUCCAAUGAAGGUACAAGCAGAACUAGACUGUUUUAAUUUGAAUGCAACAGAGACUAUUGUUAUGUAUAGCGGAAUAGAUAAAUCUCCAUUAAAUUAUAAUUAC
rnacentral:lncRNA from 1 species